rnacentral:rRNA from 1 species
CCUACGGGCGGCAGCAGUGAGGAAUAUUGGUCAAUGGACGCAAGUCUGAACCAGCCAAGCCGCGUGCAGGAAGACGGCCCUAUGAGUUGUAAACUGCUUUUGUCCGGGGGCAAACGGCGGUACGCGUAUCGCUCUGAAAGUACCCUACGAAUAAGCAUCGGCUAACUCCGUGCCAGCAGCCGCGGUAAUACGGAGGAUUCAAGCGUUAUCCGGAUUUAUUGGGUUUAAAGGGUGCGUAGGCGGUCGGCUAAGUUAGCGGUGAAAUCCCGAGGCUCAACGUCGUACUUGCCUUUGAUACUGUUCGGCUAGAGAGUAGUUGCGGUAGGCGGAAUGCAUGGUGUAGCGGUGAAAUGCUUAGAGAUCAUACAGAACACCGAUUGCGAAGGCAGCUUACCGAGGUACGACUGACGUUGAGGCACGAAAGCGUGGGGAGCGAACAGGAUUAGAUACCCUUGUAGUC